UACGUAGGGUGCAAGCGUUAAUCGGAAUUACUGGGCGUAAAGCGUGCGCAGGCGGUUAUGUAAGACAGUUGUGAAAUCCCCGGGCUCAACCUGGGAAUUGCGAUGAAGACUGCAAGGCUUGAAUCUGGCAGAGGGGGGUAGAAUUCCACGUGUAGCAGUGAAAUGCGUAGAGAUGUGGAGGAACACCGAUGGCGAAGGCAGCCCCCCUGGGUCAAGAUUGACGCUCAUGCACGAAAGCGUGGGGAGCAAACAGG
rnacentral:rRNA from 1 species